UGGGGAAUUUUGGACAAUGGGGGAAACCCUGAUCCAGCCAUCCCGCGUGUGCGAUGAAGGCCUUAGGGUUGUAAAGCUCUUUCACCGGUGAAGAUAAUGACGGUAGCCGGAGAAGAAGCCCCGGCUAACUUCGUGCCAGCAGCCGCGGUAAUACGAAGGGGGCUAGCGUUGUUCGGAAUUACUGGGCGUAAAGCGCACGUAGGCGGACUGGUCAGUUAGGGGUGAAAUCCCAGGGCUUAACCCUGGAACUGCCUUUAAUACUGCCGGUCUGGAGUUCGAGAGAGGUGAGUGGAAUUCCGAGUGUAGAGGUGAAAUUCGUAGAUAUUCGGAGGAACACCAGUGGCGAAGGCGGCUCACUGGCUCGAUACUGACGCUGAGGUGCGAAAGCGUGGGGAGCAAACAGGAUUAGAUACC
rnacentral:rRNA from 1 species